UCUACUGGCCAUACCACCGUGAACGCGCCCAAUCUCGUCUGAUCUCGGAAGGUAAGCAGAGGUCAGGCCUGGUUAGAACUUGGAUGGGAGACCGCCUGGGAAUACUGGGCUUAAAAAAA
ensembl:rRNA 5S_rRNA 5S ribosomal RNA